GUCCUUUUGAUAAUAAUAUAAGGUCUAACCUGCCCACUGAAUUUUUAAAGGGCCGCAGUAUUUUAACUGUGCAAAGGUAGCAUAAUAAUUAGUUUCUUAAUUAGAAGCUGGUAUGAAUGGUUGAACGAGAAAUUUACUGUCUCUAUUUAUUAGUUAAAAUUUUAUUUUUAAGUUAAAAAGCUUAAAUUAAUUUAAAAGACGAGAAGACCCUAUAGAGUUUUAUAGUUAUGGAUAUUUUAUAUUUUUAGAAUUUAAUUUUUGUUUAUAAUUAUUUUAUUGGGGUGAUAUAUAAAUUUAAUAAACUUUAUAUUUUUAAUAACAUAAAUUAAUGAUGAAUUGAUCCAUUUAAAUGAUUAAAAGAAAAAAUUACCUUAGGGAUAACAGCGUAAUUUUUUUUUAGAGUUCUAAUCGAAAAAAAAGAUUGCGACCUCGAUGUUGGAUUAAAAUUAAUUUUUGGUGUAGAAGCUAAAAAAUUAGGUCUGUUCGACCUUUAAAAUUUUACAUGAUCUGAGUUUAAACCGGCGUGAGCCAGGUUGGUUUCUAUCUUUAAAUAAAAUAAAUAUUUUAGUACGAAAGGACCAAAUAUUUUUAAAAUUUAAUUUUUUUUGAAUA
rnacentral:rRNA from 1 species